rnacentral:misc_RNA from 1 species
UCGAACUCCAGUCAGCUCCAUUCAGUUUAAAAUCUUGUGUUGAGUUUUUCGAGCGUUAGUCGACGUUGAAUUACCUCCGAAGAAGAAAGGUGUAGAGCUGGGAGUUCUUGUUCAGGCGGAUACGACCAGCCUAUCAGUGAAAAACUUUCUUACAGUCUUCUGUCGGAGAAAAGAUAGUGCACUCUUUGGUGUAGGACUACUGAAACUUAUCAUAGAUGCAAAGUGAACAGAUAGCGUGAUAGUGUCUUAGCGUAAUUAAAUGCGUUCGUUGUGACCAAAAGUAGAUUUUCGGUUAUGAUGAUUACUAUAUUGUUGUCGAACGUUUUAAGGUGAUUUUUCUCGGAGUGCGUUUUGGAACAACAGAGUUUCAAGCCUGCUGACGCUAACAAGACAGUUCGUUAGUUCUCGUGUCUUCCUUAAAUAUUCAUCUAACAUGCAGCAAGAGUGAUUAUUUGCUAAGCUAAUAGAAGACCACUUGUAGAGUGUCUUGAGAUUUAUAAAUUUAUGCAGUGCGGAUUGGUCUCAUCCAAUUUCUCCUCCGGUAAAAGUCAAGAAGGAUUCACUGAAAACAUUGUACGAAGUGGAGAAAACCAGUGCGAUUUUAAUUAGUUCUCAUCUGCAGCUUCCCGAUUCAGUUAAGUUCUUCGGUUCACCUCAUUACGCGUUAUAGAAAAUUGCAGAUUCCAGCACGGGACCGUCAACAAGACAAUUGAAUUCCUUCGACAAUGUUGCUUCCAAACAUAUUACUUUUGAUCGGGUUGUGUGUGGUAUACGCUUUGGCCCAACCAACCACUGAAGACUAUGAGGGCGUUGCUCAACCAAGGAUUUAUUCACCUGAUUCACAAACAUUGGACUAUGUCUAUCAUAAUCACGAUGAAAUGACACGAUUUUUAAGAGCGACUAGUGCACGGCAUCCCAACUUAACAGCACUUUACUCCAUUGGUAAAUCCAUACAAGGCCGCGAUCUUUGGGUGAUGGUGGUCUCAUCAUCUCCAUACGAGCAUAUGAUUGGAAAACCGGAUGUGAAGUAUGUCGGCAACAUUCAUGGAAAUGAACCCGUUGGACGGGAAUUGCUCUUGCAUCUGAUCGAGUAUUUUGUGACCAACUAUCACACCGAUCCGUACGUUAAAUGGCUUCUAGACAACACGCGCAUCCACAUUCUGCCAUCAAUGAAUCCUGAUGGGUAUGCUGUCUCUAAGGAGGGAGGCUGUGAUGGAGCUCAAGGAAGAUACAAUGCACGCGGCUUUGAUCUAAAUCGGAACUUCCCUGAUUACUUCAAACAAAACAAUAAUCGCGGUCAACCUGAAACGGAUGCUGUGAAAGAAUGGAUCUCAAAGAUACAAUUCGUGCUGAGCGGUUCGUUGCAUGGCGGGGCAUUGGUUGCAAGUUACCCAUAUGAUAAUACACCAAAUGCUAGAAUAUGUCGAUCGUCAGCACUAUGUGCGAUGUUCCAGAGCUACUCGUCCACCCCGUCACUAACCCCAGAUGAUGAUGUGUUCAAACACCUUUCACUUACCUAUGCCAACAAUCAUAAGAAGAUGUCUCGCGGCGUGGCAUGCAAGUCAGCAUUUCCAGCGUUUGAAAAGGGUAUAACUAAUGGUGCGGCAUGGUAUCCGCUAACAGGAGGCAUGCAAGAUUAUAACUACGUUUGGUAUGGUUGCAUGGAAGUAACACUCGAGAUCUCUUGCUGUAAAUUCCCUCCAGCUCAAGAAUUGCGAAGGUAUUGGGAUGAUAAUCAAUUGUCAAUGAUUAAGUUCCUCGCUGAAGCUCAUAGAGGAGUCCAAGGCUUCGUAAUAGAUGCGAGCGGUAUACCAGUUGAACGUGCUUCCUUAAAAAUUAAAGGUCGCGAUGUUGGAUUCCAGACAACACGAUAUGGAGAAUUUUGGAGAAUAUUACUUCCAGGAGUAUACAAAUUAGAGGUUUAUGCCGAUGGAUUUAUCCCGAAGGAAGUAGAUUUCGUUGUUGUUGAACAACAUCCGACAUUGUUGAAUGUAACACUUCAACCCGGCAAGCCGAAUUCACCUCCACCGAAAACUAAACCAACUAUGAAAAUACAAUGACAGAAACCUAAUAAAAAAAUAAUCACGUAAUACCAUCGAAAAUCUACACUUUACCUUUACGGAAUGCUUUAGUGUUAUAUUUUGCAAUUAUUUAUCUAUUUAAAUAAUAAUCAAGUUGUUCAAGAAAGUUUAAAAUUUACAUGAAUAAUCUAACAAAAUAAGAUCAAGCUUCCUCUAAGUGACUAUUUCAAAUCGUUCCGAUGGGCCACACUUCAGACCGUUUGUAGCUCCCCCGCACUAUCGACCACAGCCAGAACGUGACCAAGGCAUAUUCUCAUCGAUUAGCAACGGUUUGAAUGGACUUUACAACAGCAUUUUCGGAUGAGGUCGAC